AGUGAACGCUGGCGGUAGGCCUAACACAUGCAAGUCGAACGGCAGCACAGUAAGAGCUUGCUCUUACGGGUGGCGAGUGGCGGACGGGUGAGGAAUACAUCGGAAUCUACUUUUUCGUGGGGGAUAACGUAGGGAAACUUACGCUAAUACCGCAUACGACCUACGGGUGAAAGCAGGGGAUCUUCGGACCUUGCGCGAUUGAAUGAGCCGAUGUCGGAUUAGCUAGUUGGCGGGGUAAAGGCCCACCAAGGCGACGAUCCGUAGCUGGUCUGAGAGGAUGAUCCGCCACACUGGAGCUGAGACACGGUCCAGACUCCUACGGGAGGCAGCAGUGGGGACUAUUGGACAAUGGGCGCAAGCCUGCUCCAGCCAUACCGCGUGGGUGAAGAAGGCCUUCGGGUUGUAAAGCCCUUUUGUUGGGAAAGAAAAGCAGCAGGUUAAUACCCCGCUGUUCUGACGGUACCCAAAGAAUAAGCACCGGCUAACUUCGU
rnacentral:rRNA from 1 species